CUUUCUCUCUCCCUGACCUGACGUAAUAUGAUACGCGCACUCGAUCUCCCCACUAUCGUCACCCCCACCACCGCCGGUGUUCUCUCUCUCUCUCUUCCCGCUGGCCUGGGGCCUGGCCCUUUCGCUUUCGCUCUUUCAGAGCUCGUGCACCGGAACUCCAGCGAACAAAAUCGGAUGUUGACUUCACCGGGCCGAGGGCCACUAAUUUUGUUUGAGAUAAUCGUAACAAUAAGAGAUACAGGUAACUGUUUGCAACAUGAACACUCAAUAAUUGAGAGUUGGUUAAUUAAUCUAUUGUGAAUAAAGGUAUAAAUUUUAAUUUGAAGCAAAUAGAUAUUGCCGAUUAUAUAUACCUUUUGGCCGAUUAAUCGCAUUCUACGCACACGGUUGCAUAAUUUUCUAAUAUAGUUAAAUACUUCUAAAUGAGGUUAUAUAUAUAUUUCGCGAGGAUCUGAAUUGAUCUGAACAAUCUGAACUCGGCAAUGUCGGGAGGAUAAUCGAUCGGGAUGAAAGAACGUCGAUUAAUCGAUCAAUGCGCCUACGUAAGAUGCAAAUUGUAUCAGACGUCGCGCGAGAUAAAUGAUUGCGGGAUGCUGCGGGACGAGACGGACGCGAUCAGCUGGAGAUCGAUCGAUCGCGAAAUUCCUGCGCUUGUCAUCCGCACGCAUCACGGUCGGCAGGGUCAGUGAUCGAGAAAGCCAUGCCGCUUUGUUUACGCCAUCAUGGGACUUGAACGAGGAGGGAGAGAACGAUUCAGAGAUUGUCGACGUUUCGGCGUUCCUAGAUACAUUCUUCUCGGAGCUGACGUCUCCGAGAAUUAAUCUGGAUUAAUCACCUGCGAGCUGCGUUUCCCCGAAGUCCGACGAGAGACAGCGUGCGCUGGUGCCAGAGCGUCAAGCUCCUUCCGCUUCUUCAUCUUCUUCAUCGGCUGACGAAGCGGGACUGUCACUGCCACCGAGUCCAUCUCAAGUAAAACCAGGCCGCCUAUCUUUCGGAAUAUCUUUGGCGCGACUCGUUUCUAGGAAGAUAUUCUUUCGCUUGAAGCCGUCUAAAACCAUCUGCUCCUAUUUACGUGCGAUUUAAAAUCCAAGAGAUUUAAAAGGGUUUCUAACGUCAUGGUAACUCGACACGACCGUCUGGAUAGAAAGAUGUCGCGACACAAUUACGAAUGCGGCCCUGAACUCGAUAAGAUACCGAGAUACUGAAGAAUUCGAAAUCGGGCAAUGGCGGGAAUGACAUGAAGGAGCCGGCUCCGACAUUCAAUCCCGAAGGCACCUGUACCUGCACGAGGUUGGAGGUUCGCCAAAGAACUGAUAGCGUGGGCGUCGUACCUUCGAAGACACAGACAUGAGGACGUGCGUGUACCUGUGUGCAUCGGCACCUUUGAGAGGGGGAUUGAAGUCUUUUACCUUCCUACUUCAUUGGCUGGAGUCAAGUCGUUUCGAACCGGCCUCUUUUCACUCUUCGUUCUUCAUCGCGAAUCAUCGCUCUUUCUAUUAUUCUCCGUAUAUAAGAAUAACAAGAAACAUCAUCUUUUUCCGCACCGAAACAAUGUAUAGCAUUGAUAAGCGAGGAAGAACGCAGUACCAGAGAUCUCGAUGGAAGUAGGCCGUGCAAAUGAGGUGGACUCUGCGAAACACCUUUACUUAAACCGAAGCGAGCAGUCACAUGCUAAUUGCAGAACAAGCAGCUACAGAGUUUUGUAGGGCGGGACGCGAAAAAAAAUUGGCGGAAAGAGACGGAGAGGACGAAUGACGACUGAAAUCAGAGGCAGGAACAUCAUCAAGCAAAGGAAGGAAGCAUAUCGGAUAGCUUCCGAGGUCGACGAUGGAAAGAUUCGACUCAGGUCGGCUAGUUAUUAGCUCGCCAAUAAUUAAGGUAAUCUGUGCGGUAAUUAACUCCAGUUGAGACUUGGGUGGUAACACGACGCACCUGCGAUAUCCCAGCGGUCAACAGGUUGUUUUACAGACGGCUCAUAAUUGUACGCGGUGUCUCAAUUAGCGCGAAAUGUAGACCUAUGCCAGCGUCUGUAAUCGUAGUUACGCUUUCUAAGGGACUUGCGCAUACAUGUCUUGCUCCCCGCACAAACACGGGAAAAUAUAAAUUCAAAUUAAGCGAAGAAAUGAUUCAAGAAUGCUGCUACCACGCGAGGAUCACCAAUCACCACAAAGAGAUCGCUCAAUUAUCAUCCGGUCAUGAAAUAUAUUCACAAUAUUUCACUUUGUGAAUCACGUGGGUCACUUUGCAGAUCUCUAGAAGUAAUGGACUCUGAAAGUAAUGGACAGUAAUGGAUAUCACGUUAACAAAGUGAUAAUUUCGAUUACUUAAUUUCAAUUAGCGACAUAUUCUUUUCGAAACGCACACAUACGUGUACACACGGUUGCAAAUAAACGGUCGUACCGCGAUCCUAAUUGACAGCUCUUGUUUAAUUCACGUAAGAUGCACACAAGUCGAUACAUCACGUGCGACCAAGACACACCGGUGCGCUUAUAUAACAUUUUUAUCGUUUUACCGGAACCUUCGGAACAAGCCUCGCGCGCGACAGCUUGUCGCCUCUGUGACAAAAAAAUCAUCACUAAUCAAUCAAAAAUUGUUUUUGACAUACCGUCUGUGAUUCGAGUAUCCAUAUAUAUACUAUUUUUUACAUCAAAAAUUAUAAAUUACAUAUUAUACAAUUAACUAUAACUCGAUUACGAGAGAAAUUGAAAGAGAAUUUGCAAAUUUCUUUUAACAUAAUAUUUUUUUUGCUAUGUCGAAAAUUAACAGAACGGGAGGUUCAAUUUCAUGAAUCAAUUUCAUCAAUUCUCUUUUUUUCUAUUUAAUUCGCGCGAAAGAGACUCACUCUUGAUACUGUAAAGGCUUUCCUUUAUCGCGGCGAUACCACGACUUAUCACGAUCGGGCAUAUGUAAUCAAACGUAUUCUGUGAUAAAGUAAUAACACUGUCGGCAUGUUUAUGAAUCGGCACAAAGGCCUGAUAUUCUCGAGUCUCGACUUGUCCGACACGAAGAAUGCCGAUUGAAUGCCGAUCGAACGGUCAGUUUGAGAAAACAGUAGAUGAGAAUGAAUUUAACGAAAGCCUUUAGCAUUUAGCGCUAACUAUGCAUCUCCUCUCACGAGAUAUAUUACAUAAAAAUAAUAACAUAGUUAUCUCAGGACAAAGUUUACUUACCUCAAGA